rnacentral:rRNA from 1 species
GACGAACGCUGGCGGCGUGCUUAACACAUGCAAGUCGAACGGAAAGGCCCUGCUUUUGUGGGGUGCUCGAGUGGCGAACGGGUGAGUAAAACGUGAGUAACCUGCCCUUGACUUUGGGAUAACUUCAGGAAACUGGGGCUAAUACCGGAUAGGAGCUCCUGCUGCAUGGUGGGGGUUGGAAAGUUUCGGCGGUUGGGGAUGGACUCGCGGCUUAUCAGCUUGUUGGUGGGGUAGUGGCUUACCAAGGCUUUGACGGGUAGCCGGCCUGAGAGGGUGACCGGCCACAUUGGGACUGAGAUACGGCCCAGACUCCUACGGGAGGCAGCAGUGGGGAAUAUUGCACAAUGGGCGGAAGCCUUAUGCAGCAACGCCGCGUGCGGGAUGACGGCCUUCGGGUUGUAAACCGCUUUCGCCUGUGACGAAGCGUGAGUGACGGUAAUGGGUAAAGAAGCACCGGCUAACUACGUG